rnacentral:rRNA from 1 species
ACAACGGACUGGCCGCAUAAAACCGGAGGAAGGUGGGGAUGACGUCAAGUCAGCAUGGCCUUUAUAUCCUGGGCUACACACACGCUACAAUGGGAAGGGACAAUAGGUUGCGAAGCCGCGAGGCGGAGCCAAUCCAGCAAAACUUCCCUCAGUUCAGAUUGCAGGCUGCAACUCGCCUGCAUGAAGUUGGAGUUGCUAGUAAACGCAGGUCAGCCAUACUGCGUUGAAUACGUUCCCGGGGCUU